rnacentral:rRNA from 1 species
GGGUUGUGAGGUUAAGCGACUAAGCGUACACGGUGGAUGCCCUGGCAGUCAGAGGCGAUGAAGGGCGUGCUAAUCUGCGAUAAGCGCCGGUAAGGUGAUAUGAACCGUUAUAACCGGCGAUACCCGAAUGGGGAAACCCAGUGUGACUCGUCACACUAUCAUUAACUGAAUCCAUAGGUUAAUGAGGCGAACCGGGGGAACUGAAACAUCUAAGUACCCCGAGGAAAAGAAAUCAACCGAGAUUCCCCCAGUAGCGGCGAGCGAACGGGGAGGAGCCCAGAGCCUGAAUCAGCAUGUGUGUUAGUGGAAGCGUCUGGAAAGGCGCGCGAUACAGGGUGACAGCCCCGUACACAAAAGCGUAUGUGCUGUGAGCUCGAUGAGUAGGGCGGGACACGUGGUAUCCUGUCUGAAUAUGGGGGGACCAUCCUCCAAGGCUAAAUACUCCUGACUGACCGAUAGUGAACCAGUACCGUGAGGGAAAGGCGAAAAGAACCCCGGCGAGGGGAGUGAAAAAGAACCUGAAACCGUGUACGUACAAGCAGUGGGAGCCCCACCACUAAGCCAGUGGUGAACUCCACAUACGCAUCCUUUGCUGAGGAUACGGUUAACGGAGCGAAAGCGACGUUCAACCGCAAAAGAAGCAGAGGGGGCUUAGUGGUGGGGUGACUGCGUACCUUUUGUAUAAUGGGUCAGCGACUUAUAUUCUGUAGCAAGGUUAACCGAAUAGGGGAGCCGGAGGGAAACCGAGUCUUAACCGGGCGUUAAGUUGCAGGGUAUAGACCCGAAACCCGGUGAUCUAGCCAUGGGCAGGUUGAAGGUUGGGUAACACUAACUGGAGGACCGAACCGACUAAUGUUGAAAAAUUAGCGGAUGACCUGUGGCUGGGGGUGAAAGGCCAAUCAAACCGGGAGAUAGCUGGUUCUCCCCGAAAGCUAUUUAGGUAGCGCCUCGUGAAUUCAUCUCCGGGGGUAGAGCACUGUUUCGGCUAGGGGGCCAUCCCGGCUUACCAACCCGAUGCAAACUGCGAAUACCGGAGAAUGUUAUCACGGGAGACACACGGCGGGUGCUAACGUCCGUCGUGAAGAGGGAAACAACCCAGACCGCCAGCUAAGGUCCCAAAGUCAUGGUUAAGUGGGAAACGAUGUGGGAAGGCCCAGACAGCCAGGAUGUUGGCUUAGAAGCAGCCAUCAUUUAAAGAAAGCGUAAUAGCUCACUGGUCGAGUCGGCCUGCGCGGAAGAUGUAACGGGGCUAAACCAUGCACCGAAGCUGCGGCAGCGAACGUAUCACUUAAAGCGAUUCAGCGGGUUACGAUUGACGGAGCGAAGCGACGUCAAAGCGUAUACAAAGUCGAGUCGGUUUAAGGAUACGUUCGUUGGGUAGGGGAGCGUUCUGUAAGCCUGUGAAGGUGGCCUGUGAGGGUUGCUGGAGGUAUCAGAAGUGCGAAUGCUGACAUAAGUAACGAUAAAGCGGGUGAAAAGCCCGCUCGCCGGAAGACCAAGGGUUCCUGUCCAACGUUAAUCGGGGCAGGGUGAGUCGACCCCUAAG